rnacentral:misc_RNA from 1 species
UACGUAGGUGUCGAGCGUUAUCCGGAAUUACUGGGCGUAAAGGGCACGCAGGCGGCGCUUUGGGUCUGACGUGAAAGCUCCCGGCUUAACUGGGAGAGGUCGUUGGAAACUGAAGUGCUUGAGGUAGUGAGAGGGAUGCGGAAUUCCCGGUGUAGUGGUGGAAUGCGUAGAUAUCGGGAAGAACACCAGUGGCGAAGGCGGCAUCCUGGCACUGACCUGACGCUCAUGUGCGAAAGCGUGGGGAGCGAACGGG